AUGAUUGUAAAGUGUCUCUUUAAUGAUCUCACAAUGAUUAAUUUAUUUACAGUCUGAUGAUAUUCAUGAGGAGUCAGAUAAAGAUUCCCCUGAAUCAGAAGUCUUGAGCCUCUAUGUCAGGAUCUCCCGGGCACACUGCGCGCACUCCCGGUUUCGCUGUGAGCACUUCCGGUUCCGCGGUGAGCACUUCCGGGUCGGCGGCCAUCUUGCUGUUUUUCCCGCGCCUCUCAGUAUAUAAGGACAAUCAAGACUUUAGCUCCUGGCCAGAUUAUCUUACCGGUUUCCUAGCCCCUGAGAUUCUUCUUGCCACCCUGCCUGUUUCUGUCCCUGAUCUCUGUACCCGAUCUCUGUACCCUGUACCCUGUUCUGCACUGCCUCUGCCCUGGAUUGAACUCUGGCCUGUUAUUGGUUUGUGAUUCUGCUCUGCCCUUCUUUGUUCUGUGUGCCAGUUUAUGGAUUUAUUGGACUGUUUUUUGGAUUAGUUUUUUGUUCUCUCUGCAUCGCCCUGUUUACUGUGUUUUCAACCCUGGACUGUUUUUGGACUUUGUUUUUGCCUUUGCUCUCUGCUAUACUUUAUAUAUUAAAUUCAGUUUUUCCAUAACCUUGUUUGCAUCCUGCAUUUGGGUCCUCCUAUUUAGUCACUCUGCACCUACCGUUGCACCCGUGCUCCUGACACUCUAUGGUUUAGACCCAGACUACAAACCCGAUAUGUGUUCAUCAUGCAGUGGCACAGAAUUUUCAAGCCCUGACAAAAGUUCAGCUGAAGAUAAUCAGGAAAAUGGCAAGUGCACCAUUUAAUAAACAAGAAAACCAUCAAACUUAUGUCAAAAGACACAAUACAACAAAAAAGAAACUACCACAGGACAAAAGACACUACUGUCUCUUCUGUAGCAAAGCACAGUCAAAGAUAUCUAGGCAUUUAGAAAGAAAUCACAAUGACAUUGAGGAUGUGGCAUAUGCCUUUAGCUUCCCAUCAGGUUCCAGAGAAAAAAAAAUUCUUUCGGAACAGUUGAGAAAUGAAGGAGACUUCAAACACAAUGCAGAUGUUUUGGAAAAGGGCACAGGACAAAUAGUAACUCGGAAACAAACUGUAGAUAAUGCUUCUGUUGAGGAUUAUUUACCCUGUCCUUACUGCUUUGGGAUGUUCCGAAAUAAUGACCUUUGGAGACAUACGUUGUUGUGCCAAACCAAAUCAUAUGUGGAAGAUGAAGAUGAAAAAAAGAGAUACACGAAGAGCAUGCAUAGUCUUGCAACAUGUCUGCUCCCGAUUGUAGCAUCCUCCGAUGGAUGUCAGAGAAUCAUAAACACCAUGCGACAAGAUGAUGUGUCAUUUCACAUCAGGAGUGAUUCUUUAAUUUGUAAAUAUGGGGAAUCGGUGUAAGGUCUAAACACCAGUACAUUGCACAGAGAAUGAGGGAACUUGGUCGAUUCAUGUUAGUGGCUAAACAAAUGGACAAGACAGUCAAUGGUCUUAUAGAUUUGUGUAUACCGGUGAAAUUUCAGCUGGCUGUCAAUGUUGCCAAGUGUUUAACACAAUUCAGUCCAGGCAAGAAUGAAUAUGGAAAACCUUCAAUAGCAGUGAAAAUUGGAUUCGGUCUGAAAGGGGCUGUGAAGGUCCUGAUUGGACAGGCUCGUGUGAAUGAUGAUGAUCUGUCAGAGAAGCAAGCAAAACAAUUCUUUGAACUUUUGGAGAAAAAAAAUGGAGGAACAGUGUUUCCAUCAUCGCUCACCAAACCAUACAAGACAAAAUAUGUAAUGAAAAAGACAUCCUCCUCACCAAAAAUGUAAUUGCUCUGAGAGACCAUCUCAGGAUGAUAGAAGAUAAAGCAAGAGCAAAACUGAUGCAGCAAAUGGAUUUAGGAGCGUACAAGGCAUUCAAUGAGACUGUCCUGGCACAAGUCAUUUUCAACAAGCGUCGUGAAGGUGAAGCAUCUCACUUAACUCUCGACAUCUACAAGAAAGCUAGCACAACUUCCAUUAAUCAGGACAUCUAUACAACUUUGUCACCAUUGGGGAAGGAGCUGAGCAAGAUACUAACUCACUUAGAAAUGAGGGGCAAUGGAGGAAAGAAGGUGCCAGUUUUCUUGACAGAGAGAAUGAAGGAAUCAAUCGAUUUGUUGGUUCACAAGAGAGAAGAAGCUGGUGUACCUGCUGAAAAUCCCUAUCUCUUUGCAAGACCUGGUGUGAUGACAAACAUACGUGGAUGCGACUGUCUGCGAAAAUAUGUAGAAGAAAUCAAAACUGAAAACCCUGAACUCCUACUAUCAACUAAUUUAAGAAAACUGGUCACCACACUCUGCCAACUCCUGGACUUUACUGAACAGACUGACAAAACAUUUCAAAUUGCUAUGAUAAGUAAGCUUCUGUUUGCAAUGGAGCAGAGCACUGAAACCUUAAGAGGAAAGAACCUGACCACGCUGCGUCCUUCAGUAUGCGGUGAAAGUCCCACAUCAACGAGAGAGGAAGGUGGAUGAAGACGGAUGUUCUGACCUUUUCUUCUCUCAGAGAGCACCUGCCCAAUGCAGUGAGGAUGGAGUUUCAGACGAUGAAGAUCACAGGCAGAGUGCUACCCAGGCCAAGAGGCCCUCACCAAAGAAGAAGAAAAGAGAGGAAUAACAGGGGAAAGCAAAGGGUAAGUUUCAGAAAUCUUUAUAACUAACAAUUUUAUAAUUUAGGAUUUUUAGAGCAAUUAUACACAUUUAGAGCGUCAUGAUUCAUUGUGGUAGAACUCGUGGUUCAUGAUUCUUUAAACUGAAUCUGUUUACAAAAAAAUAAAAAAUUAAACCGUGUGUCCACUAAAGCAUUUUUUCCUGAUGCCAGCAUAUAUCCAGCUAUUUCCAAUGGAAGCACUGCAUUUUUAACGCUAGCAGUGUGACAUGGUGCUGAGCAUCUAUUUCACACAGUGCUUUGCAUUUUGUAUCGAUCCCUGAGAGUUGAAAAUGUUCAUCUUUGAUUAAAACACUGCAUAUCUGUCAGGAUCUACUGGAAACGCGCACUGCCAUUUUCCCCACACCUCCCAGUAUUAAAGGACACCCAAAACUUUAGCUCAGGGCUAGAUUAUCUCACCGGCUUCCUACAGUCCCUGGGAUUAUUUCUUGCCACUCUGCCUGCUCUGGAUACCUGUUUCUAAACCCGAUCCGGUUCCCUGUUCUGUUCUGCUUUUGAUUUUAUACUGGUUUUGGUUUAUGAUUCUGCUCUGCCCUUCUUUGUUCUGUUUGCCGGUUCUUGGAUAGUUUGCACUGUUUUUUUGGUUUGCAAUUUUGCUCUGCACUUCAUGGUUCUGUUUGCUGGCUGUCUAAAUCUUGGACUGCAUUUGGUUUUGUUUCUCCCUGCAUCACCCUGUUUGCCUGUUUUGGACUGUUUUUUGGACUGUAUUUUUGCCUUUGCCUCAUUGCUUAGUUUGUUUUUCAUUAAAGCCCGUUUUCUCCUUAACCCUGCAUUUGGGUCCUCCCAUCCAGCCCCUCACGCAACCAGUUACCUC